UUGUUGCCGUUUGUAAGAAUUUGUUGGCAAAACCUUUUUUCUGAACCGCCUUGUAUACACGCAUCCGCAACACAUCGUUUUUCAUGGCAGAUUGCUUUAACCGUUGUUGAUGAUUAGCAAACCAGUAGUACCGUCUUGCUGUUCGUACGAAUGAGUAUCUCUCGCGCGCUUCAUUCGUUAAAAAGAAUUAAAUAUGUAGUGCCGACUUUAUUGACCAUUUAGUGAGAUAAUAUUAUCCGUGCAAUCAGCUUCGGAUAUCGUUGGACAUCUUAUUACGAGUCUGCUGAAGAAAGGCAUUAAGCUGGUCUAAUAAACUAGAUCCGUGAAAGAAUUAAAGAUGCAUCGAGAAAGUCUUAUACUUUGCUGCUACGCUUGUCUAUUCAUUGUUAUAUCACUGGAACCUCGACGGAAUUCUGCGAAUGACGAUGUAACAACAAUACAAUAUGCACCUCAUACAAUAUUCACGGGAGGUGUCCAGAAAAAAUGGCAAUACAAUCUGCAUGAGAACAUUACCGAGGAUAAUAAUGAGACGCAGCAUGAAUUUCGUACUAAUUUUACGAAGGAGGACCGUGAGAGCGAUGGAACCUCGACAGAAUAUGAAUUUCAUACUACGAGAAACCAUAAAGAGGACGAUCGAAGGGCAGUACAGUUUGACGUGAACAGCACGAGCGUGGAAGACGAAAGCUAUUCUACGUUGCACGAGCUUCCAAAUCUCAGCAAAGAUAACAACAACACUGAAUGCGUUAACAAUAACAGCUGCAUUCAGCUUUGCUGUCCUUUAGGUGAACAUCUGAUUAAAGAGAAAUGUGUCACUGGAGAAGGUAAUUAUUCGUUUCCGGUCGUCCGUGGAUAUACGAAUAAUUCAUCACAAAUGCAAAAGGCAAAUAAGAGUAUGGACCAAGUGCUUCAGUUGAUCGUUCACGAUCCAUGCCAAGGAAGCAAUCAUUUGCUGCUUAAUGAAACCGACGGUUUGGAAUAUGAUAUUUUCGCCAACGGCUCUUUGCAUCUAUCGCGUUGGAACAUGAUCAUCCAACCGAAGAGCUAUUGCCUCGCCAUUGUACAUCAAGACAAGUACGACGCGCUCGUCUGCAAACAGAAAAGAUCAGCAUUUCCGAUUAUUGUAACCGUCGGCGUCAUAGUAUCCCUGCCAUUUCUGCUGGCAACAUUUGUGGUUUACUCCAUCCUGCCGGAACUCCAAAAUAUGCACGGCUAUACGUUGCGCGCACACGUCAGUUCGCUGUUUGUUACAUACCUGGUCCUCGCAGUGUACCAGCAGACUACAUUACAACAACUGGGAUAUACCAUGUGCUUCAUACUAGCAUUGCUUCUGACAUUUUCUUUCUCGGCGAGUUUCUUCUGGCUGAAUAUAAUGUGCUUCGACAUUUGGUGGAUAUUUAGAAGAAAAACUCGUUCAUCGCAAGGGAACGUGAAACAACGAGAUAGAAAAAAGUUCAUGUUAUAUGCGUUGUAUGGCUGGGGAUGCGCUUUCAUUCUUAUCAUCAUUUGUAUCUUGAUAGAUUACGUGUUAGUUGUGCCAGAGAAUUUCAUUCGGCCAGAAUUUUGCGUUCGUACUCUGUGGUUCAGUGAAAGAGUGGCAAGAACGUAUUAUUUUUAUAUACCCGUGGGUAUCACUAUUGUUUGUAAUAUUUGUUUAUUUAUUUCCACGGCACUGACGAUUGCACGUCACAAGAAAGAUACAGAUCAACAUCUAAGAAAUUCGACAGAGACGAGGCGUCAGGAUGAGAAUAAGCAAUGGUUCAAAAUGUAUCUCAAAUUAUUCAUCCUGAUGGGCAUAAUCUGGAUUAUGGAGAUAAUAGCUGUUCAUUCAUGGGCGUUUAAUAAUCCGCCAGCAUACAUCUGGUAUCCCACCGAUAUGAUAAACGCACUUCAGGGUGUCAUUAUCUUUCUCAUAUUUGUGUGGAAGAGAAAGAUUGGGUUGUUGUUGAUGAAACGACUGGGUUAUCAAAAUUGUUUAUGUUUCUACAGAAAUUCAACGAACAACGAUUGCCACAGUACUUCAACUUCGUAUACUACUGCAUCGGGAACAGUAACUCUUCAAUCUGUUAGUCCUUGCGCGCAGACAUACUGUGGUGUGAAGAGUUCGCCCAACGAAACCAAUACCUAAAAAAUGUUCUUUUUGUUGUAAAUGUUUUUACUGUUGUACAUCAAGCUCAAUCAGUAUCAGUAUCAGAAUUUAUUAGAUGUGUGUGAAAAGUUUAGUUUUUUUCACACAUUUUUGCUUUAGAUGAAUAAUUAUAUGUACAAUUCAGUCAUCAAAAUAUUUGCCCUCGUUUUUUAUGAUUGUCUAUUAUCUCUCCAGUAUGUUUUGGAUUUCUCCAUGAAAAAAAAGAUAUCGGUUUGAAGGUGAUAAAAUCAUUGAUCCAUUUUGUAUCUGAGCCACAUCUCGAAAACACAAAACUCCAGCUGAAGAAUGCUGCACUAAUCGAAAUAAGUGGUAAUCCGAAAACGCCAAGACGAAUGAAUACUAUGUGUGUGGAAAAAUAUUCCACUCCAAGUUAAAAAUGAGUUUGGGAUUAUGUUUAUCAUUAAAUCAUGACAUAUAAAAUUUUAUAAACUUUGAUGCUCGCUCUCCAAAAACCUAAAAUGCGAGAAUUUAUUUGAAGGUUAAUAAUUAUAGCAGAACAGAGAGAAAGAAACUUAAACUUUUGCACAUUUACUUAAUUAUACUUAAUAUUAUUAUACUUAAUUAUACUUUAACAUGUAUGUAUAUAUGUAACUUACUAAUUUUUCGAUUACAAAUAGUCGGAAGAAAUUGUUUUCUUAUGUAUGUUGAUAUAUUUGUUAAUCUCUUUUUUUCUAUUGUUUCGUGAUACCGGAACCGCCCAGCGUUGAGCGCGAGACUGUGCUCUCGGAGCCCUGAUGAUUCCGAGCGUAUGGAGGGAGAGGGAGUUACAGGUUGAGAGAGAACUCGUGGGUACUCAGCGGUCAGUUUAUUUCACUGCAAUUCGUGCACCAAGUCGAAGUAGGCGCAGAUCGGAGAUCUUCAACACUUGCGGAUGACGCGGCGGAUGUCUUGAUCGCGUCGGUUUCGGCGAGCUUUCACGCGUGCACCGAUACACGAGGUGGCAGUUCGUCAAAGACACCGAAUGGUUUGGUGCAGCGGCGAAUCGUUGACGCGCGCCUGACAACAUUCAGACGCGUCGGACGUCGAAAAUGAGAGAGCGGCUCAACAGCGAAGCGAGUUGAGAGUGGCUCGAGACUCGAAUUGGUUUUAGAUCGAUCUUCACGCGAGCGCUGACAAAGCUCUAAUAAUGUUCCCGAGACCUCGCCUUCCUUUGAAUCCCUCAGAUAACUCGACUGACACGGUGACAACAAGGCUUCGGACGUUAGGCUCUUGAUAGAUAUACGUGUCUAAAAACUCGAGUCAAUGUCGCGGACAGCCAGCGGAUCGGCUAGCUCCAUUGUUUCGAGUCGAUCGAGUUCGCGAAAAUAACUUAUUUGUCGCGUUCUUACAUGAAACCAAGCGAGCUCGAGAACUGUCUGAAGAUCUCGAAUAACGACGGAUUAAAUUAAGCUUCAAUGAUUGUAAUUCGGAACAUCUAUGAUAUUCAUUGUUAGAGGAAAAUAUAUUAUAAUGGUAAAAAAAUUAAAUAAAAAAUAAAUGUAUGUUGGG
rnacentral:misc_RNA from 1 species